AGUCAUACGCUUGUCUCAAAGAUUAAGCCAUGCACGUCUGAGAAUAAAGAGUUUUCUCUGAAUCUGCGAAUGGCUCAUUAUAUCAGUUAUAGUUUAUUUGAUAGUCCUUUACUACUUGGAUAACCGUAGUAAUUCUACAGCUAAUACAUGCAUCAAAACCCAACUUCGCAGAAGGGUUGUGUUUAUUAGAUACAGAACCAACCCAGGCUCCGCCUGGUUUCCUGGUGACUCAUAAUAACUAUAUGAAUCGUAUGGCAUCUGCCGACGAUGCAUCAUUCAAGUUUCUGACCUAUCAGCUUCCGACGGUAGGGUAUUGGCCUACCGUGGCAAUGACGGGUAA
rnacentral:rRNA from 1 species